CAGCGGCAAUCUGACCUUCGGAAUCUACAUAGCGAUUUAAAACUGCGUAGUGCAUAGCAGAGUUAUGUCGGAGAGUUAACCGGUUAAACUGAAACAAAUAGCCUACACUUGAUGGCGAGGACGAGGCGAAAGAGGUCAAGUUCCUCUACUCCACCUGCCCCACCAACGAAGCUGAAAAAACAUCGAUAUUUCACCAGGAGCCGAGCUAAACAUGCAGCCAAACUUGGGGGUGAGCAGGAGGGCAGGACAAACUGGUUGUCUGAUGAGGAACACAGGAGCAGGAGCAACCUGCUCAAACAACCUGACCACGGUA